rnacentral:rRNA from 1 species
AGUGAACGCUGGCGGCGUGCCUAAUACAUGCAAGUCGAACGGAGUGGCGAACGGGUGAGUAAUGUAUAGCUAAUCUGACCUACACUAGAGGACAACAGGUGGAAACGGCUGCUAAUACUCUAUAGUGUAGGAUGAGGCUAUAUUGUAUCAGCUAGUUGGUGAGGUAAUGGCUCACCAAGGCUAUGACGCAUAACUGGUCUGCGAGGAUGAUCGGUCGCACUGGAACUUAGGCACGGUCCAGACUCCUACGGGAGGCAGCCGUAGGGAAUAUUGCGCAAUGGGGGAAACCCUGAAGCAGCUACGCCGCGUGGAGGAUGACACUUUUCGGAGCGUAAACUCCUUUUGUUAGGGAAGCGGUACCUAACGAAUAAGCACCGGCUAACUCCGUGCCAGCAGCCGCGGUAAUAC